GAGGGGUGCAAGCGUUAAUCGGAAUUACUGGGCGUAAAGCGUUCGUAGGCGGUCUAUUAAGCAAGAUGUGAAAGCCCAGGGCUCAACCUUGGAACUGCAUUUUGAACUGGUAGACUAGAGUACUGUAGAGGGUGGUGGAAUUUCCAGUGUAGCGGUGAAAUGCGUAGAGAUUGGAAGGAACAUCAGUGGCGAAGGCGGCCACCUGGACAGAUACUGACGCUGAGGAACGAAAGCGUGGGGAGCGAACAGGAUUAGAUACCCUGGUAGUCCACGCCGUAAACGAUGUCAACUAGCCGUUUGUGGACUUGAUCCGUGAGUGGCGCAGCUAACGCACUAAGUUGACCGCCUGGGGAGUACGGCCGCAAGGUUAAAACUCAAAUGAAUUGACGGGGGCCCGCACAAGCGGUGGAGCAUGUGGUUUAAUUCGAUGCAACGCGAAGAACCUUACCAUCCCUUGACAUCCAGAGAAGAGACUAGAGAUAGACUUGUGCCUUCGGGAACUCUGUGACAGGUGCUGCAUGGCUGUCGUCAGCUCGUGUUGUGAAAUGUUGGGUUAAGUCCCGCAACGAGCGCAACCCCUAUCCUUAUUUGCCAGCGCGUUAUGGCGGGAACUCUAAGGAGACUGCCGGUGAUAAACCGGAGGAGGGUGGGGACGACGUCAAGUCAUCAUGGCCCUUACGGGAUGGGCUACACACGUGCUACAAUGGCAGGUACAGAGGGCAGCAAUACCGCGAGGUGGAGCGAAUCCCACAAAGCUUGUCGUAGUCCGGAUUGGAGUCUGCAACUCGACUCCAUGAAGUCGGAAUCGCUAGUAAUCGUAGAUCAGAAUGCUACGGUGAAUACGUUCCCGGGCCUU
rnacentral:rRNA from 1 species